rnacentral:rRNA from 1 species
GUUUGUGGACGUACCACAUUGAACAUUCCUGAUCUUGUCUGAUCUCCUAAGCUAAGCAGGGGCAGGUCUGGUUAGUAUUCAGAUGGGAGAACAAGAGAAAAAAAGGCAGAGAUUAGAAUCA